rnacentral:rRNA from 1 species
UACGUAGGGUGCAGGCGUUAAUCGGAAUUACUGGGCGUAAAGCGUGCGCAGGCGGUUUGCUAAGACAGGUGUGAAAUCCCCGGGCUCAACCUGGGAAUUGCGAUGGAGACUGCAAGGCUAGAAUCUGGCAGAGGGGGGUAGAAUUCCACGUGUAGCAGUGAAAUGCGUAGAGAUGUGGAGGAACACCGAUGGCGAAGGCAGCCCCCUGGGUCAAGAUUGACGCUCAUGCACGAAAGCGUGGGGAGCAAACAGG